rnacentral:rRNA from 1 species
GACGAACGCUGGCGGCGUGCUUAACACAUGCAAGUCGAACGGAAAGGCCCUGCUUUUGUGGGUUGCUCGAUUGGCGAACGGGUGAGUAACACGCGAGUAAACUGCCCUUGACUUUGGGGUAACUUCAGGAAACAGGGGCUAAUAUCGGAUAUGAGCUCCUGCUGCACGGUGGGGGUUGGUAAGUUUCGGCGUUUGGGGAUGGACUCGAGGCUUAUCAGCUUGAUUGUGGGGUAGGGGCUUUCCAGGGUUUUGAAGGGUAGGCCGCAUGAGAGGGUGAACGGCCACAUGGGGCCUGCGAUAGGGCGCAGAAUCGUACGGGAGGCAGCAGUGGGGAAUAUUACAGAAUGGGCGGAAGCCUGAUGCAGCAAUGCCGCGUGCGGGAAGACGGCCUUCUGGUUGUAAACAGCUUUCGACUGUGACGAAGAGUGAGUGACGGUAAUGAGUAAAAAAGCAACGGCUAACUACGUG